rnacentral:lncRNA from 1 species
GACCAGGCUCUCCAAGGCUGCCAUGAAGGUAGAAUACAUCUCCUGUGCACGAUUAGAUCCCUCAAAGAGCCUGGCCUGCUGGAGAGCACCCGCCCAAAGAGCUGACAGCCGGAGCUGAGUCCGCAACUUUCAAGGCUCAGCCACUGUCAGGAACACUCAGAAGAUUGAUGCCCGCUUUUCCAAAGAGGAGGCCAGAGCCCUUCCAAGAUGAGAGCCCG